rnacentral:rRNA from 1 species
UACGAAGGGGACGUAGCGUUGUUCGGAAUCACUGGGCGUAAAGCGCACGUAGGCGGAUUCGUAAGUCAGGGGUGAAAUCCCGGGGACUCAACCUCGGAACUGCCUUUGAUAACUGCGGGUCUUGAGUCCGAUAGAGGUGGGUGGAAUUCCUAAGUGUAGAGGUGAAAUUCGUAGAUAUUAGGAAAGAACACCGGUGGCGAAGGCGGCCCACUGGAUCGGUACUGACGCUGAGGUGCGAAAGCGUGGGGAGCAAACAGG